GUGUAUAUUUUGACCAAGCAAAAGAUAAUUGUGGGAUAAUAAUUUCCCCCCAAAGUUGUAGGCCUUAAAUACAUUCUAAGGAGAUUUAUGCUACUUUCCAUACUCCAAGACCUUUUGACCUGUGGGGAAAGUGUCUGUUCACAUUAAAUGAGAAAUGCCAGUGCUCUGUUGAAACUUGCAGCCUGUAUAUGAAAACAGCCCACUGGCUACAGCUUUGUGUUACAACACAAACACUGAACUCUUCAUUGAGUCCAGUGAGACAGUGAAAUGUGAUGCAGCUCAGACAGGAGAGAAUAAGAAACGACUCUGUAAGCCUUGGGAGACUGUAGAAGUUAGGGCCAUUUUCCAGGGGUGUUCUGUCAGUGUUUGUUUUUCCCACAGGCCCUUGCUUUUUUUCUUCCUCCUUUCUCUACCCUCCCACCCCCGCCCCUUUCUGUGUAUUACACACAUCAACAGCGCCACCUACUGGCCUGUUCUAUUGAUUUUUUUUCUUUCCUGAUUUUACAGCUUUUAUGGAAGCUGGUUUCACUUUCCAUGGCUCUGUGCUUGUUCUGCUGAGAACCUUUGCGGUAACGUAAUAGCUCUUCAUUAUGAAAACGGCAUUUCAGAGCAAACAAAUGUUCCUACACCACCUUUUCUUUGAUCCUUGCUUGCAGAAAAUGUAGACAUUCUGCUUUUUUCAUAUUUUUGCUGAACAGUGAGUCUGAUCAACUGGAUGAAAAAUCCCCUGGGUUAGGCCAAUGGGAAGCCCUGCUGAAGAUCACAUGUCUUUCUCAGGAAGAACUCAGGUGUGUCUACACAAAAUGAUCAAAUUGCUCCCUGGAUCGUCUUGCCUUGACUCCCCCAGAGGGUGAGGAACUGAUGCACUCUGCUCUGGUUUGGACUUACAGGGACCGAGAUCCUUAAAGUGCCAGCCAUUUCCAAAUAAUGUCUACGGAACGUAAUUCACGAAGCAAGUAAACAUCCAUGAUGCCCACUUUGGGUGGCGUGACAGCAGAGCUGAGAGGAGAGAAAGGACAUGGUUUAGACUAAGUUGAAUCAGGCUCUGCGACGCUCUUUGCCUGUGGUUGGCUACACUCUACCCUCUGGCUGCAUCAGUUUCAAGAGAGGCAUGAGUGUCAGCUAGCUAUAUGACUACUCCAAAUCAUGCUGCAGUUCCAGUACAUGGAAAAAAGUGGAUAAUGGACAUUGUGCGCCAAUUUACAACCUUUACCCAUGCAAUGUCAUCUAGUCUAUUUAAUUCUAAAUUUUCUCCUAUGUAAAACAGGGAUAACAGAGUUGAAAGUAUUAAAUAUAGGUACAGUGCCUAAACAGCAUUUGUGCUGUUUGGUAUAUGUUAAUUAAUAUAUGAGGUAUUGAUAUUAUUACUAUUCCUGCCCUAUUGAGUGCUUCAUAGUCACUGGAAAAACGAGAUGAAAACAAGGUAUAUAAAUGAUGGUACAAUUUGGUAUAGAACUGAAUCCCUAAAUCAACAGAGUCAGUGGGUCCUAUAGAUGUGAGCACAGUUCACCAGGAAGAGAGAUUUAGCUAUGCUGUGCAAAGUAGGUGGAAUAUAAAAGGAAGAAGUAAUUAGGAGUCCUGAAAUUUCUUCAAUAGUACUUUUCAGAAGAGUCUUUUCAUGCCUGUAGUUCAGUUUGCUGAUGAUAAUUCAUUUACAUAUUGCCACUUGGGGAACUAUAUUUGCAUUUCAAGUCAACGAUCAGCUGUUUUGCAGUAGAAUUUUUUCCCCUCCUCUUCUCAGUGAAAGUAAAACAGCUUCAUCCAAACAGGGAAAGACUUGGUGGAAGCUGGCCACGGGAAUGUGGCUAAACUCAAUCCACCAGAAACAAAUGGACCCAUCCAGAGCUAGGUCAGGGCUUCUCAGCAUGUACCAAAUGGAAGCAUUAGAACCACCAGGUGUUCUUGUGAUGCACCCCAGACCUGCUGGGGCAGAGUUUGCAUUUGAUCUGGAUCAGGGAGCUCAAAACCAAACCCAUUUGAGCAAUGAAACCAAUCCGUUUGCAAGCUGGGAGAAGUCUCUCUGAAAACAGCAACUGUGUGUUUUCUCAAAUGUCUCCCCACUUCUUCCCCCUGAGAAGGGCACCACGCCCUUUGAUGAAUUUCAGCAUUCACUCUACCUAUAUGGCUCUACUCCUGAGCUAAUGAGGUCUUUCAUCUUAUGACAGCCAGCCCCAAGCACAGUUCAUUAACCCAAACAAGCCUCCAUACUCUCUGAGAGGAGCAUGUCUUUUGGAGAAAGUUCAUUCAUUAUGAGUAGGAGAGAUGCUAUAUCCUUCUUGAUAGUUUUCUCACUACUUGUAUUAUCUUCAAUUUAAGUUGUUCCAAAAGAAAACAUUUAGGUUUCUUAUUCAUUUUCACAUUUAUUUUAAUAUGGCAAAAUCAUUUACAAAAGUUGCUUAAACUAGCACCUCUUAAUGGAAUUAGAUCCCAGCACAUAAAGGUCCUACAGGGGCCAUUGCUGGAUCUCCUCUUUGUAGUAUUGACUAUCUAUUCCUUUCUCGUAUAACUGAGAUACCUUUGUGAUGCCUGACUUUCCCAUGCACACGCAUUACAUGUGACUACCAUGUAAAACAAGGGAGGCAGCCAAUGCCAAUAGGCACAUGUAAUAUUCACCAUUUUAACUGCUCUUCAGUGAAUGGAAGAUUCUCUUUAACAAAUGACCCUCUUAGAAGCAGCAUCUACCUUAGAGUAUGUCUACCAAUCAAAGCACAUUAGAAACCUCAAGGCAACACAGCUUAUUUAGAAGAGAAGAUUCUAGUGGAAUAGGGGUCUUUUGUAUGUAGAAACCAGAAAACUAGCUUAAAAAUCGUAGUCAGGAUGUAAAAUGAGAAGCAUAGGCAAAGACAAUCAGACAUUAAUAAUCUGCCUUUGGUGGAAGCAAUGUAAGGAUAGACUCUGUGAUACCCUAGAGAGACUUUGGAAGUAGGUUCCUGAGAAAGAAAACAAUAUGGAUCUAGUAGCGAGAACUGAGGUACAGACCAAAGCAGAAAAACAAAACAAAACAAAGCCAGGCAUGGUGGUGCACACCUUUAAUCCCAGCACUGGGCAG